rnacentral:rRNA from 1 species
AUGAACGCUGGCGGCGUGCCUAAUACCUGCAAGUCGAGCGAACAGACGAGGAGCUUGCUCCUCUGACGUUAGCGGCGGACGGGUGAGUAACACGUGGAUAACCUACCUAUAAGACUGGGAUAACUUCGGGAAACCGGAGCUAAUACCGGAUAAUAUAUUGAACCGCAUGGUUCAAUAGUGAAAGACGGUUUUGCUGUCACUUAUAGAUGGAUCCGCGCCGCAUUAGCUAGUUGGUAAGGUAACGGCUUACCAAGGCAACGAUGCGUAGCCGACCAGAGAGGGUGAUCGGCCACACUGGAACUGAGACACGGUCCAGACUCCUACGGGAGGCAGCAGUAGGGAAUCUUCCGCAAUGGGCGAAAGCCUGACGGAGCAACGCCGCGUGAGUGAUGAAGGUCUUCGGAUCGUAAAACUCUGUUAUUAGGGAAGAACAAAUGUGUAAGUAACUAUGCACGUCUUGACGGUACCUAAUCAGAAAGCCACGGCUAACUACGUG